CAGUAGCCGCGGUAAUACAGAGGGUGCGAGCGUUAAUCGGAUUUACUGGGCGUAAAGCGUGCGUAGGCGGCUAAUUGAGUCGGAUGUGAAAUCCCCGAGCUUAACUUAGGAAUUGCAUUCGAUACUGGGAAGCUAGAGUAUGGGAGAGGAUGGUAGAAUUCCAGGUGUAGCGGUGAAAUGCGCAGAGAUCUGGAGGAAUACCGAUGGCGAAGGCAGCCAUCUGGCCUAAUACUGACGCUGAGGUACGAAAGCAUGGGGAGCAAACAGGAUUAGAUACCCGUGUAGUCCCUGUCUCUUAUAA
rnacentral:rRNA from 1 species